rnacentral:rRNA from 1 species
GACGAACGCUGGCGGCGUGCCUAAUACAUGCAAGUAGAACGCUGAAGGAGUAGCUUGCUUCUCUGGAUGAGUUGCGAACGGGUGAGUAACGCGUAGGUAACCUGCCUGGUAGCGGGGGAUAACUAUUGGAAACGAUAGCUAAUACCGCAUAAUAGUAGAUGUUGCAUGACAUUUGCUUAAAAGUUGCAAUUGCAUCACUACCAGAUGGACCUGCGUUGUAUUAGCUAGUUGGUGAGGUAACGGCUCACCAAGGCGACGAUACAUAGCCGACCUGAGAGGGUGAUCGGCCAACCUGGGACUGAGACACGGCCCAGACUCCUACGGGAGGCAGCAGGAGGGAAUCUUCGGCAAUGGACGGCAGGCUUACCGCGCAACGACGCGUGAGUGAAGAAGGUUUUCGGAUCGUAAAGCUCUGUUGUAAGAGAAGAAAGAGUGUGAGAGUGGAAAGUUCACACUGUGACGGUAUCUUACCAGAAAGGGACGGCUAACUACGUG